GAUGAACGCUGGCGGCGUGCCUAAUACAUGCAAGUCGAGCGAACGGACGAGAAGCUUGCUUCUCUGAUGUUAGCGGCGGACGGGUGAGUAACACGUGGAUAACCUACCUAUAAGACUGGGAUAACUUCGGGAAACCGGAGCUAAUACCGGAUAAUAUUUUGAACCGCAUGGUUCAAAAGUGAAAGACGGUCUUGCUGUCACUUAUAGAUGGAUCCGCGCUGCAUUAGCUAGUUGGUAAGGUAACGGCUUACCAAGGCAACGAUGCAUAGCCGACCUGAGAGGGUGAUCGGCCACACUGGAACUGAGACACGGUCCAGACUCCUACGGGAGGCAGCAGUAGGGAAUCUUCCGCAAUGGGCGAAAGCCUGACGGAGCAACGCCGCGUGAGUGAUGAAGGUCUUCGGAUCGUAAAACUCUGUUAUUAGGGAAGAACAUAUGUGUAAGUAACUGUGCACAUCUUGACGGUACCUAAUCAGAAAGCCACGGCUAACUACGUGCCAGCAGCCGCGGUAAUACGUAGGUGGCAAGCGUUAUCCGGAAUUAUUGGGCGUAAAGCGCGCGUAGGCGGUUUUUUAAGUCUGAUGUGAAAGCCCACGGCUCAACCGUGGAGGGUCAUUGGAAACUGGAAAACUUGAGUGCAGAAGAGGAAAGUGGAAUUCCAUGUGUAGCGGUGAAAUGCGCAGAGAUAUGGAGGAACACCAGUGGCGAAGGCGACUUUCUGGUCUGUAACUGACGCUGAUGUGCGAAAGCGUGGGGAUCAAACAGGAUUAGAUACCCUGGUAGUCCACGCCGUAAACGAUGAGUGCUAAGUGUUAGGGGGUUUCCGCCCCUUAGUGCUGCAGCUAACGCAUUAAGCACUCCGCCUGGGGAGUACGACCGCAAGGUCGAAACUCAAAGGAAUUGACGGGGACCCGCACAAGCGGUGGAGCAUGUGGUUUAAUUCGAAGCAACGCGAAGAACCUUACCAAAUCUUGACAUCCUUUGACAACUCUAGAGAUAGAGCCUUCCCCUUCGGGGGACAAAGUGACAGGUGGUGCAUGGUUGUCGUCAGCUCGUGUCGUGAGAUGUUGGGUUAAGUCCCGCAACGAGCGCAACCCUUAAGCUUGGUUGCCAUCAUUAAGUUGGGCACUCUAAGUUGACUGCCGGUGACAAACCGGAGGAAGGUGGGGAUGACGUCAAAUCAUCAUGCCCCUUAUGAUUUGGGCUACACACGUGCUACAAUGGACAAUACAAAGGGCAGCGAAACCGCGAGGUCAAGCAAAUCCCAUAAAGUUGUUCUCAGUUCGGAUUGUAGUCUGCAACUCGACUACAUGAAGCUGGAAUCGCUAGUAAUCGUAGAUCAGCAUGCUACGGUGAAUACGUUCCCGGGUCU
rnacentral:rRNA from 1 species